GUUUCCGUAGGUGAACCUGCGGAAGGAUCAUUAUUGUAUAACCGAGGUGCGAGGGCUGUCGCUGACCCGAAAGGUCGUGCACGCCCGAGUGCCCUCACACACAUCCAUCUCACCCCUGUGCACCACCGCGUGGGUCCCCCUUUGGCUUGUUCGGAGGGGGGCUUACGUUUUCACACAAACUUUGUAUGCAGUGUAGAAUGUAUUUUUUGUUUUUGCGAUCACGCAAUCAAUACAACUUUCAACAACGGAUCUCUUGGCUCUC
rnacentral:misc_RNA from 1 species